GAUGAACGCUGGCGGCGUGCCUAACACAUGCAAGUCGAACGAAACUGAUUUCAUGAAACUUCGGUAGAUUGGAUGAAAGUUGAGUGGCGGACGGGUGAGUAACACGUGGGCAACCUGCCUCACAGAGGGGGAUAGCAGUUGGAAACGACUGAUAAUACCGCAUAAGCACACAGUACCGCAUGGUACAGGGUGAAAAGNUUUAUCACUGUGAGAUGGACCCGCGUCUGAUUAGCCAGUUGGCAGGGUAACGGCCUACCAAAGCGACGAUCAGUAGCCGACCUGAGAGGGUGACCGGCCACAUUGGGACUGAGACACGGUCCAGACUCCUACGGGAGGCAGCAGUGGGGAAUCUUCCGCAAUGGGCGCAAGCCUGACGGAGCAACGCCGCGUGAGUGAAGAAGGGUUUCGACUCGUAAAGCUCUGUUGCCGGGGACGAAUGUGGAGAUGGUGAAUAACCAUUUCCAAUGACGGUACCUGACGAGGAAGCCACGG
rnacentral:rRNA from 1 species